GAUAAGGUGACUGAAAUUUUAGGUAAUAAAUUGUAAAUUUAUUUAUGGAUUAAAUCCUCUUAUCA
rnacentral:tRNA from 1 species